UUUAGAAGCAAACUAGCUCUGCUCAUGAAAAAAGGGCAAAGUAUUUGCAAAGCCAAAAUUGAUGGUUGCAGUUUUGCCCAUGAUUUUGCAGUAAGAUCACAUAUACAUAAAUAUAUAUACACACACACACACACAUAUAUAUAUGUAUGUAUAUAAAAUGUACCACUAAUAUUCACAGGCCAAGUAACUGCUCCUUCUAAAAGCUUGUAGUUUGCUAUGCAUGUGUCUCUAUGCUGCACUGCUACAGCAAGUGAUGGAAAGCAAAUAGAGCACUAAGUGUGUUUAAUGGGAGGUGAAAGGCUUGUUUGAUUAGAUUAGGGCUUCAGCUGGCCUUUAUGCCCUUUUUAGGCAAUGAGAAUUCCUGACACUGUGUUUUAAAACCUGAUUUUUAGCAUGUUGUAUGCAAGUGUUGUAUAUGCUGUGUUUUCUUUAGUAGGGAAUGUUUCUGAGAGUGGUUGCCAAGCAGUCUCAGUGUAUUGCAGACGUGCUAACCAGUGCUACCAUCAUACAUUUUAAAGGUGUCUCACAUUAAGGAUGCUUUCAUGUAAAAAAAAAAAAAAUCCCUGACAGGUAUUAGAAAAUAUGUCCAAAAAUUUAAAUUUUUAUUUACCAGGUCACAUGUGAUUUUCUUCUUGCUGAAGUGAAGCCUCAGUUACAGAAACUGGAUGUUUUGUUGUGCUGCUUUAUUUUUCAGUUCUGUGGGUGUUUGUGGGUGUGAACACUGUACCUGAGGAUUUGAUGUGACUUCUUUGGUCGUAUACAAACAAGUGAGACUAAGGACCGUGACCUGAAAAUUAAUGAGUGAAUUACAAAGGAUGAGUAGUUUUCCAAUAUGAAAUAUCCCAAUGCAGUAAAUAAAAGUUUUUUAUAGAUCUGGAUAAGAAUUAAGACUUGGGUUUUGAAGUGUUGGAGCAACUCACUACUGCCCGAGUCAUGACGCUCCCAUUUCGGAAGGACUUGGACAAGUACAAAGAUCUCGAUGAGGAUGAAAUUCUUGGCAAACUUUCAGAAGAAGAACUGAAACAACUGGAAACCGUUUUGGAUGAUCUUGACCCUGAGAACGCGCUGCUGCCUGCAGGCUUCCGGCAGAAGGACCAGACUGCCAAGAAGGCCUCGGGUCCCUUCGACAGGGAACGGCUCCUGGCCUAUUUGGAGAAGCAGGCGCUGGAGUACAAGGACAGGGAAGACUAUGUGCCUUUUACCAGAGAAAAGAAAGGGAAAAUAUUUAUCCCCAAGCAAAAGCCUGUACAGUCUUUCACAGAAGAAAAAUUUUCUCUUGAUCCAGAACUGGAGGAAGCCUUGACCAGUGCCACAGACACAGAAUUAGGUGACCUUGCAGCAAUACUGGGAAUGUCCAACUUGAUAACAAACAAUCAGUUCUGCGAUGUAGUAGGAAGCAGUAAUGGGAUUGACAAAGACAACUUCUCAAAUAUAGUAAAAGGUGAAAAAAUGUUACCUGUUUUUCAUGAGCCACCAAAUCCCACAAACGUGGAGGAGACACUGCAAAGAAUUAAAGACAAUGAUUCUCGUCUUGUUGAAGUUAAUCUAAAUAACAUUAAGAACAUACCAAUUCCAACGCUGAAAGAAUUUGCAAAAGCCUUAGAAACCAACACACAUGUGAAGAAUUUUAGCCUGGCAGCCACCCGAAGCAAUGAUCCUGUUGCUGUUGCUCUUGCAGAUAUGCUGAGAGUAAACACAAAAUUAAAAAGUUUGAACAUAGAAUCAAACUUCAUUACUGGAGUUGGAAUUCUGGCAUUGGUUGAUGCACUGAAAGACAAUGAAACAUUGACAGAGAUCAAAAUUGAUAAUCAGAGGCAGCAGCUGGGCACAGCUGCAGAAGUAGAAAUUGCCAAGAUGCUUGAAGAAAACAACAAGAUCCUCAAAUUUGGAUACCAUUUCACACAACAGGGACCUCGAGCCAGGGCAGCUGCAGCUAUCACAAAAAACAAUGAUUUAGUCUGGAGUAUGCGAGUAAAAGUUUCUGCAAAUUCCUUUUCAUCUCUCCAGCCUUGAAGCUACAGAGGAGGUUACUCUGAAUACCCAUUUGGGUACUGAGCACUAAAACAGAUGUUCAAAGUCCCUCAUUUCUCUCUUUUUCGGAAGAGAAGGGUUGAAGGAGACAAUUAGCAAAGCUGAUGCCAGAACUGCAGAGUCGGCAUGGCCAGCACCGUGGGCUUCUGCAAUCUUGGACUAGAUUGACCUGGGUUAGAAGGGAAAAGACUGGAAACCCCAUUCCUUUUAAAGCAAAGCAAUAGAUUCAUCUGCUGGUAUGCAGCACAGUUUGGGAUGGAUGGAGACCCAGUAACUGUGCCAGUCUCUGUACCAUAGAUUUUGAUCGGUUUUUUUAAAGAACUUUUUUUGUAUUUCAAGACUUUGGCUGUGCUUUCCACUAAAAAUGUAAUUGCAGAUCAAAGGUUUAAUUGUCUGUACUCAAAGAAUGGAACAUUUAAGAUCAUUGGGCAGAUACUGACCCAACUGAAAUGUUUGUAAGAAAAUCUGGGGGUGUGUAUUUACAUGGAGGGGGGUGUAUAUAUUCCUGACAACAAUGCCUUAGUAAGAAGGGAUCCUUCACCCAGCAGCUGGACUCGUGUAGAGCUGUUCAGCUUUGUUCAUAUGCACUGAAGAGAACUCUUUCACAGCAACGUUAUUUGUAAUUCUACUGUUUUAUUUUUUAUUUGUUCUUGAUACUGUAAUCAAGUUCAAAGACAUGCUUUUAAGCCAAACAAAAAUAAAUUGGCUAAGGACUUCUCCCAAGAGAUCAGAGGGACUAGUACAAAAGUGGAAGCCUUGCAAAACAAGAAAAUAAUUCAGGAGCCUUGCAAAAUGAGGGUUUUGCUGUUACACCUAAAUCCUUACAGUCUUUUUCAAAAGGUCCCAUAACUGUCUUGCUCUGUAUCUAAACUGGAUACAUUUUUAGACUGAUUUCAUGUGCUCAUCACCAUUAUUUAGUUUAUAUUCUUUGUUAAAAAUUGUUAUCUACAUUCCUAAGUAUCGAUUUCUCUAGAAGUAGUGGACAUUCAUAUUUAAAAUUCUGCAUAACUGUACAGGAAAAGCAGCCUUAACUGUAAGACCACUGACCUAAGUUGCAUUACAUUAAACUAUUUGUACUUCAUAUAGAUCUAACGGUUUUUAAUAAUGAAGUAAUACUUUUAAGAAAGGGUUCUUCCAUUCUAUAUCUGCCUUGAUGUUGAAACACUACCUAAGACAUGCAAAAACUAAUCAAUAUGUAGUGUCAAAUCUCUAGGGUGUAGUCAUCGUUAAAGUGUUUAAAGUUCUAUAAGCAAACUAAUAAGGCAACAAGAAUCACUUCAACUUCUGUGCAUAAUCACAUAAUCACA